rnacentral:rRNA from 1 species
UAAUACAUAAGUAACCUGCCCUAGACAGGGGGAUAACUAUUGGAAACGAUAGCUAAGAUCGCAUAGGUACGGACACUGCAUGGUGACCGUAUUAAAAGUGCCUCAAAGCACUGGUAGAGGAUGGACUUAUGGCGCAUUAGCUGGUUGGCGGGGUAACGGCCCACCAAGGCGACGAUGCGUAGCCGACCUGAGAGGGUGACCGGCCACACUGGGACUGAGACACGGCCCAG